rnacentral:rRNA from 1 species
AUGGCGUGGCAAUUACAGCAAACAAUGGCCACCACGAGCACACGCUUCCGGACGUCGUCGCUGGCAACCGUCCGCUGCUCGGCGGCCGCUCGGCGGUCAGCCAACUACGCUCCCAGCUCCUGGGAUUACGACUCCCUCCUCCAGCUCUCGCCCAACAAUGGCGGACAAGCAGAUAAAGUCGAUAAAUUGAAGGCCGGCGUGAGGGAGCGGCUGGUGGCGGCGAGCCGAGGCGGCCACCAAACUGCCAUGCUCGGGCUUGUCGACACGGUACAACGGCUCGGCAUCGCCUACCAUUUCGAGGAGGAGAUCGCCUGUAUCCUUAGCUCCAUCCACCGCGAGCCUCACCAGUGCAGCUGGGACUACGAUGCCAGUGAUGUUGCUUCUGCGGGCUUGAGGUUUAGGUUGCUCAGGGACGGUGGUUUCCCAGUCCUCUUCCCCCAAGAAUGUCUGGAGGAUCUCAAGCGCGGACCAGAUGAUGUCAAGGGGCUCCUCUCACUCUAUGAAGCUUCAUACCUUGCGUUCGAAGGCGAGGAAACGUUGGACGAGGCAAGAGCAUUUUCUAAGAUAGCCCUCAAAAAGCUUUUACCAUCCAUGGAUCACCACCUACGGCACAGCGUAGUUCGUUCUUUGGACCUUCCAUUACACCGGAGGUCUCCUAGACUAGAAUCAAGAUGGUUCAUAGACCACUAUGCUAGAGACGAGAUCAAUUCCGACCAGUUGCUCGUUAGAUUUGCAACGACGGACUUCAAUAAUGUGCAAAGUGUGCAUCAGGAAGAACUCGGGAGACUCGCAAGGUGGUGGAAGGGGACCGGCCUUAGUGAAAAAUUGGGUUUUGCCAGGGAUCGUCUCAUGGAGUGCUUCCAUUGCGCAAAUGGAAUUGUGUGGGGGCCAAAGGAUGGAGCAUGUCGGGAAGUGCUUGCUAAAGUCUCCAAUCUAAUAGUUCACUUAGAUGAUGUAUAUGAUGUGUAUGGAACUCUAGAUGAACUUGCUCUCUUCACAGACGCCAUUGGAAGAUGGGAAGAAAGUCCUAGUGCAAUGCUCCCCGAAUACAUGCAAGCACUCUAUUCCGUCAUGUACAACACGUCCGCUGACGUGGCUGAAAAUGUGUUUAAACAACAUGGUUGCGACACUCGUUAUGUUCUUCGGAAAGCAGUAAGUUCAUAUACACAAUUAACUUCCUAA